rnacentral:rRNA from 1 species
CUGGUAGUCCACGCCGUAAACGAUGUCAACUAGCCGUUGGGUCCCUUGAGGACUUAGUGGCGCAGCUAACGCAAUAAGUUGACCGCCUGGGGAGUACGGCCGCAAGGUUAAAACUCAAAUGAAUUGACGGGGGCCCGCACAAGCGGUGGAGCAUGUGGUUUAAUUCGAUGCAACGCGAAGAACCUUACCUACCCUUGACAUCCAGAGGACUUUCCAGAGAUGGAUUGGUGCCUUCGGGAACUCUGAGACAGGUGCUGCAUGGCUGUCGUCAGCUCGUGUUGUGAAAUGUUGGGUUAAGUCCCGUAACGAGCGCAACCCCUAUCCUUAUUUGCCAGCGAGUAAUGUCGGGAACUCUAAGGAGACUGCCGGUGACAAACCGGAGGAAGGUGGGGACGACGUCAAGUCAUCAUGGCCCUUACGGGUAGGGCUACACACGUGCUACAAUGGCAAGUACAAAGGGUUGCAAUACUGCGAAGUGGAGCCAAUCCCAUAAAGCUUGCCUCAGUCCGGAUUGGAGUCUGCAACUCGACUCCA